CUGUCCUUGAACUCACUAUGUAACCUAGAGUGGUGUAGAUCUCAUAAUCCUCCUGCCUCAGCCUCCUGUCUGCUGGGACCACAGGCGUGCCCCACCACACCUGGCUUUGUGGUAUGUAUUUGUUUAGCUUAAACAAAAAGAGGCUCAGGGCCAGGAUGUAGCUCAGGGGUCAAGAGUUUGCCUGGCAAAUGCGCCAAGGCCCUGGGCUCUGGCUCCAGCACCAAAGGGGUGGAGCGUUUUAUUGUCUCACAUCUUUGAGGCCAGGUGGCUUUCAGCUAAAUUGCUGAUUGAUACAGCAACUGGGUCAGUCAGCGGAAACCCAGUGUCUGUCUCUUCUUAAUCUACAAUGGUGCUAACUUUGGCCAGGCAUGGUGGUAUGUGCGUGUAGUCCCAGCAUCAGGGAGGCUGAGGCAGGAAGAUGGCAGCCAGUUCAAGACCAGCCUAAACUUCCUGAGACCCUGUCUCAAAAAACCAAAACAAACAAGCAAGCAAGCAAAUGGUGCCAACUUUGUUCUUCGGCUCUCGUGUCAGGAUCACAAGAUACCCACCAGACACAACUGGAGUUAUGCCCGUACUCUUUUCUGUAUGGUCAGAAGGAGGACACUUCUUUCCCAGAAGUUUCUGGUGAGGCUCAGAUUGGCUGAAGUCUGCCAAGGUCCUUCCAGAGAGGAAGCAGUCCCUCCCGCUGCAGUCUGGGCAGUGUGGGCCUGCUAGGGCAGGAAGGAGAAAAGAGGACAUGCACACGGGGAGGCCAUCAGGCAUCCUGUCCCUCCUGGCCAUCAUCGCCGGGGAAGAGGUCUCCACGCCUGUGUGGGCGCAGAGGCGGGUGUGCACCAGGCCUCUCCGCGCUGACUCCGAUUUGGAACGUGCAUGCAGACUCCCUCUGAAUGGCAGAGCGAACCAGGGAGCAGGUCCCCCGCAGCCUGCAGGACCUGCCGGGCAGGAAGUAAGACAGUGGCUCAAGGGCAUAUGCUGGGGGCAUGAGCAGGACAGCAUGUACCUUGGUGAUUGGGGACACGACCAUUUGCUCCGUCCCCCGAGGGACAAGGCAGAGGAGGGAGGAAUUUGCUUCUUCCUGCCUUGUGGCCGGAGCUGGGACAUCUCAUCUCCAGCCCAAGGCUGA
rnacentral:lncRNA from 1 species